UUUCCGUAGGUGAACCUGCGGAAGGAUCAUUACAGAGUUCAUGCCCUCACGGGUAGACCUCCCACCCUUGUGUAUUUUAUACCUUGUUGCUUUGCCGAGCUGCGAUGGGCUUCAAACCCCAGAGCCUCGGGCUUUCGAGCCCUGAGAGCCGCUCGCCGAACGAAACCUAAACCCUGAUUAUCAGUGUCGUCUGAGUACUAUAUAAUAGUUAAAACUUUCAACAACGGAUCUCUUGGUUCUG
rnacentral:misc_RNA from 1 species